ACAACAGGUCCUUGUAGGAGCGCGCCGUGCCACGCGGCGCCGGGGAUGGGUCUGCACUCGGACAUGAGCCCGCUUGUUCCCCGCUCGCCGUGAAAAGAGUUUUGAAAUGAGUUCUGAAUAGACAGCAUUUUCUUUGUGCGAGUGGUAAAUAACCCAGAGCGGAGUUACCGAGUUGCAGCUUCUGCAUUCUGAAACUCCAUGGAACUUUUUUGUGGGGAGAAAGGCAGGAUGUUUUUUACAGAAUGUGACCUCCCCGGAACACUGGAGAAAGCGAUAGCAUCUCUGAAUGGGGCCGUGUGGAGAAACCCUAAGAGAAACAGCAUAAGAGCAUUUUGGAAUAUAUCCCGCAAAAGAUAACUUUCUACACAUCUGGCAGAGAUUCUCCAGGUAAAGGCCUCCAUUUGCUAUUGUCAUCCUUGUGCUGGGGAACUGAAGGAUCCACAAGAGGCACCAGAAUUUUGAAUUCUAAGCAGCUGGUGAACAUUUUUGGGUUGUAACAUUUCUCCAAAUUUUGUUGUUAUUCACGAAUUCUCCAUUUGUUUGUGAAUUUUGUUCUCUGUCAAAACAUUGAAGACUAUUUUCCAUC
ensembl:lncRNA